CCUUUAUCCCGUGGUGAUUUGGCCGGUCGGCUUGCAGCCACGUUAAACAAGUCGCUAAAGGGCCGAACGACGAACCGG
rfam:Rhizobiales bacterium 68-8 SCNpilot_expt_1000_bf_scaffold_1968, whole genome shotgun sequence.